rnacentral:rRNA from 1 species
AAAUCCGCUUUGAUAAUGCUGGGAUGUGAUGGGGAGCGAAAUUUAGUAGCGAAGUAGCUGAUUUCACACUGUCAAGAAAAGUCUCUAUCGAGGCUAAAGGUACCCGUACCGCAAACCGACACAGGUGGGUGAGGAGAGUAUCCUAAGGCCAGCGAGAGAACUGUUGUUAAGGAACUCGGCAAAAUGACCCCGUAACUUAGGGAUAAGGGGUGCCACCAUCA